AGAACGAACGCUGGCGGCAUGCCUAACACAUGCAAGUCGAACGAGACCUUCGGGUCUAGUGGCGCACGGGUGCGUAACGCGUGGGAAUCUGCCCUUGGGUUCGGAAUAACAGUUAGAAAUGACUGCUAAUACCGGAUGAUGUCUUCGGACCAAAGAUUUAUCGCCCAGGGAUGAGCCCGCGUAGGAUUAGCUUGUUGGUGAGGUAAAGGCUCACCAAGGCGACGAUCCUUAGCUGGUCUGAGAGGAUGAUCAGCCACACUGGGACUGAGACACGGCCCAGACUCCUACGGGAGGCAGCAGUGGGGAAUAUUGGACAAUGGGCGAAAGCCUGAUCCAGCAAUGCCGCGUGAGUGAUGAAGGCCCUAGGGUUGUAAAGCUCUUUUACCCGGGAUGAUAAUGACAGUACCGGAGAAUAAGCCCCGCUAACUCCGUGCCACAGCCGC
rnacentral:rRNA from 1 species